UACGGAGGGUGCAAGCGUUGCUCGGAAUUAUUGGGCGUAAAGGGUAGGUAGGUGGUCUCGUUUGUCAGGGGUGAAAGCCUUGGGCUUAACUCAAGAAGUGCCCCUGAAACGGCGAGACUGGAGUGCUGGAGAGGCUAGUGGAAUUCCCGGUGUAGCGGUGAAAUGCGUAGAGAUCCGGAGGAACACCGACGGCGUAGGCAGCGCCCUGGACGACACCUGACGCUGAGGCACGAAAGCUGGGGGAGCGAACAGG
rnacentral:rRNA from 1 species